AGAAACAGAAGCAGGGAGGGAUAAAGAGAGGAAGGGAAGGAGGAAAGGAGGGGGAAGGAGGGAGGAAGGGAAAGAGAGACACAGAGACAGAGAAUGUUUUCUAGCAGUGGGGCUUGAAGGACAAGAAGGGAUGGACGGAGGAGGAGCCAGAGGGGAGGUUUCCCAGGACACUGACCAGGACAGAGGUGGGCGACCCAGGAUAGCAGUGAGGGAAGGCUGGAACAAGGUGACAGGCUGGCUUGAGACAAGGUGGGCCUGAUGAAACUGUCCAUAAGACUGAGGAAGUAGGAGAUGCUAAACGCACUCAGAGGGAUUUACCUUUACAGAUCUUAAAAUUCGAGCAACUCCCCAUAAUGCUGUGAGUAGUGGACAGUGUGAGGGAAGUAAGGCCAGUGAGCUUGAAUGUUGCCCUGCGAACCGAAAGACAGUUUUGUGCAUCAGCGUGGCCUGGGUACAGUUGCCCGUUACUCCUUCAGUGAGUGAAAGUAUCCUGAGUAAUCUGUGGGCCGAUUCAAUCAGUUAAAAGGCCUUGGAAGCAGAAUACAGACUCCACUGAAAAGAAGAAAUUGCACCUAUGGGCUGAAGCCUCAGCCGGGACCCAAGACUCCCAGCCUGCCUGUCCUGAUGCUGUCCUGGACAGGACUUUGGACCUGCUGGGGAGGUCCCCUCAGCCAGGCACGCAGUUCCUCCGCAUCAACUGGAAGUAUGAAAAGUGUAGGAAGCAUUUCAGCUGGUGUUUUGACAGCCCUUCCAUGUACCCAACCUUCCUGCUGUGACACCAGUGUUCAUCUAAGAGACACGAGAGUGGUGAGUUUGAUUCAGGACUUAAGGUGAGUACAAAAUCAAGAGUCCUGCGUACACUUCUGCAUUCUCCACCCCUGUUUCUUUGGCAGGAGUGUGAAACAGACGUGGAUUUGAUUCAGCUAGUGUUUCCUAAGUGGUUUUUGUGAGCAAGCAGUAGAAUGAUAUGAAAUACCUCCUGGAAAAGUGGGAACUGCUCCCAGCUAUCUCACCAAUGAACCCUGAGUUGAUUCUUUCCUUAUGACACUUAAAGAACUUCAAAUUUCUGAACAUUGUGUGCAAACCUGGGAACCUCACCUCUGAAAAUCAAAAUGUAUCAGGACCUCUCAGACAAGUUACAGGGACAUCAAGUCAGACAAAACUAAUAAAUAGGAAAGAGUUGGGAUGAUUCUGACUCUUUGUCUCAGAGCAUCAGGUCACUGUGAGACAUCCUGUAUGACAUGUUGGAGAGCUUUCCUGACUCGAGAAAAAGAGAGACUUUCUCUAACAGCCUUCUCAUUUCUCCCUUUGUGAAGGGUGAUCAGGUGAUCUGGCUGGAGCUUCAUUUGUGGGUGUUAAGGGAACCCUCGGAGAGAAGGUAGGAAGAGCAAGACAUGUUGUGUAGCCUCCAGAAGAGCCUUAAUCAUCAGAAAGCAUUGUGUCUCUGUUAUGGAUUUUAUCUAGAUGUCCCCAAAGCCUUGAGAGGUCAUAAGGGUUUUUGGGAGGUGGCUGAAUCUAGAGUGCUUAAUUGAUUCAUAGUAUACAGCUGUGAUUAAGAGUGGAUAAUUGCUGCAUGGAUUGGAUUGGCACUGCCCUAAUCAUGGUAGAUGAAAUAAAAUAUAAAGGACAAAAAAAGCUUCUCCCCCCCCCCCUCUCCUCUCAUUGCUUUUUCUGUUUUACUCUGACAUGAACUGUUGUACCUCUGUCAUGAGUCAUCCUGCCUUGGAACCCCUUGAUUAUGGACUGAAACCUCCAUUAACUGCGUUAAAUAAACCUUUCCCCCUUUAGCUUCAGGUGUUGGGUAUUUUGUCCCAGCAAGGAGAGAAAAUAACCAGCACAGUCUCCACAGACCAUGUAUGGCUGCUGCUGGAUUCUGAUCCCCUAGAACAAAGCAGAGAGAGAAUGGCUGUGAAACAAUGAAAGAGCUGUUCUGCCAAAAAACAACAACAGCAACAACAACAUGGCCGUUAAAUGUCCCUCCAGGAAGCACGGAUGCCUCUCCACAUUCCAACAGUUCCUCCUCCUGUGCUUAAAGAAUUAUUCAAAGAUGGCACCGGUUCCCACAUGACCUCCACCGUUGCUGGCACAGAAUGAUUUUUGGCUGCAGACAUGAAUUUGUCAGGGCUUCAGCUCCUCGCACUGGCCUUCCAAACAUUCUGUACCUGACAUGCUCGAGUGUGUGCUGCUGAGGAGAUGUGAUGUCAAUGCCACAUAGAAACAAAUACAAAACAUGCCUCGCCGCUUCCCAAAGCUCCGGCUGCACUAGUUGGUCAGGAUGGAUGCUGUCUAGACUUACCUCAUCCGCCUCAGAUUCUGAAGGGUCCCCUGUGAGAAAAGCACCUGGGACAAGAUUUCCUCUGAUAACAUCUUUCCACAGUAUGGUGUAAAAUGCUGCCCUGUAGAGCAGCGGUAUAAGAAAUUCUGUCAACUCAUUUGAAGACCUCCUAAAGAGAAUCUUCAACGAUUCUUGUUCUGACAUACGUGAGACAUGAGGCUGUGUUACUCAGAUUUCCAUUACUAUAAUAAAGUACAUGAGAUGAUCAACUUAUGAGGAGGAAACAAUUAUUUUGGCACAGUUUCAAAGGUUUCUUGGCAAAAGCACAUGCCAGGGAAAGCUGCUCAUCUCACACUCACAAGGAAGCAAAAGAGAAAGGCCCAGAAGGAGCGGGGGUCUCACCACCCUCUGUAGGGCUCACCUCAGGGACCUAACCUCUUCCCACAGGGCCCAGCCCCUCGGGGUUCCGCUGCCCCCCAAAACUGCCAGCUUUACCACACGGCAGCCUGCAGGGGCUCUGCUCUGUAACUCAGUGUCUCCCAGUUCUGGGACUGCUAUGUACUGGUUCCCGGAGGACAGGGAAGGGAGGAAAGCUAAACGUAUUGAAAAAGGUACAGGCUAUUUCACAUAGAGGCUGAGGGUGGGUGGCAACCAAAAAUGACUGAAUUCCAGAAUGCCUUAUGGAGUCUUCCUUCCAGAACUGCUGGGCUCCAAAUCUCAAUGACAUAGUACAUUUUCAGCUAUUGAAAGAGACUCAGCUCAUACAGCAGAAGUGUGUCACUAAAGGGUCUUUUUUUAAAAGAGAUGCUUCCAUGGAAAAAGUCAGAACUGACAUGGUUUGGGAGGUUAAAAAAGGUCCUGACACUGAUCUUUGUUUGCAGAGAAACAAAUGAUUCUGUCUGGAUUCUUCACAAUGGGGGUUAUAAGUUUAGCGAGUUUAGCAGCUCUGUGAUUCUCAU